UAUCUACAUUUUCCGCAAAUAUUAGUUGACUUAUGUAAGUGUUUUUGUUGCAGUCACACAUUUUCCUGCUGGACUUUGAUGUUUGUUGUAGUUUUACACUUCCAGAGAUGCUUGGUAACCCGUCUUUUUUAGAAUCUGCUCAUUUUUUUACUCGACUUCCCAUUCCAGCUUCGCUAAUAAAUGGUUUAUAUAUACUUAUAAUUUUGCUUUAAAGUUAGUAGGUGUAUCAGUGUCGUAUUGAAGAUUCACUAGUUUUCUUUACCUAAUUUUGCAGAGGCUCACAAAAGAUACAGUGGGAUUGGAACAAUCCUAGUAAUCAAGGUUACAAAGCGUCAUUUAGAUUGUUCUAGGCUUUUGGCAGAGUACUUUCCGCAGUUUAUCUUGUUUGUGAUUAUUGAAUAUUAAACUGUUAAUUAAACUGUUAUUUUCCUUUUGUCGAAAGGAGCAGACUAAUCUAUUCUUCCUUGUGCAUGCACUGGACAACAAAUAAGAACCUUCUCCGAAGCUAUAGUACAAUAUGCUCAAUUGGGUUUGAGGACAUUAUGUGUGGCUUGGCGUGAAUCACCAAAGUAUAUAUAAAGAGUGGUCAUUGACAUUUAAAGAGCUAAUAGCACACUGGUUGAUAGAGAGGUAUAAUAUAUUCUUGUAAUGUUAGAAAAUAUUGCGUACAUGAUAUUUAGAUUAGAUGGAUGUAUAGUAGUUGAUCGAUAUUGGAUUUGAUGGAUGUGUAGUAGGUGAGAUUGGAAUUUGAUGGAUGUAUAUAGUACAAUUGGUUUAUAUAUGCAUUAAUAAGAUUUAGUUGUUGAUUUUGUUUGGUA